CCUACGGGGGGCUGCAGUCUAGAGGCUUCGGCAAUGGACGAAAGUCUGACCGAGCGACGCCGCGUGGAGGAUGAAGGUCUUCGGAUUGUAAACUCCUUUCGGGUGGAAGGAAAGGUGGGAUGGUGAAUCCCGCUGUGACCGACCAUCGGAAGAAGCCCCGGCUAACUUCGUGCCAGCAGCCGCGGUAAUACGAAGGGGGCAAGCGUUAUUCGGAUUUAUUGGGCGUAAAGGGCGUGUAGGCGGCUUGGUAAGUCCGGUGUGAAAACGCUACCGCU
rnacentral:rRNA from 1 species